CAGCCGCCGCGGUAAUACCAGCACCUCAAGUGGUCAGGAGGAUUAUUGGGCCUAAAGCAUCCGUAGCCUGCUCUGUAAGUUUCCGGUUAAAUCCAUUAGCUCAACUGAUGGGCCGCCGGAAAAACUGCAUAGCUAGGGAGUGGGAGAGGUAGACGGUACUCGGUAGGAAGGGGUAAAAUCCUUUGAUCUAUUGAUGACCACCUGUGGCGAAGGCGGUCUACCAGAACACGUUCGACGGUGAGGGAUGAAAGCUGGGGGAGCAAACCGGAUUAGAUACCCGGGUAGUCCCAGCUGUAAACGAUGCAGACUCGGUGAUGCCCUGGCUUGUGGCCAGUGCAGUGCCGCAGGGAAGCCGUUAAGUUUGCCCCCUGGGAAGUACGUACGCAAGUAUGAAACUUAAAGGAAUUGGCGGGGGAGCACCACAAGGGGUGAAGCCUGCGGUUCAAUUGGAGUCAACGCCAGAAAUCUUACCCGAAGAGACAGCAGAAUGAAGGUCAAGCUGGAGACCUUACCAGACAAGCUGAGAAGUGGUGCAUGGCCGUCGCCAGCUCGUGCCGUGAGAUGUCCUGUUAAGUCAGGUAACGAGCGAGAUCCCUGCCUCUAGUUGCCACCAUUACUCUCAGGAGUAGUGGGGCGAAUUAGCGGGACCGCCACAGUUAAUGUGGAGGAAGGAAGGGGCCACGGCAGGUCAGUAUGCCCUGAAACUUUGGGGCCACACGCGGGCUGCAAUGAUAGUGACAGUGAGUUCCUAAACCGAAAGGUGGAGGCAAUCUUCAAACGCUAUCACAGUUAUGAUUGAGGGCUGCAACUCGCCCUCAUGAAUAUGGAAUCCCUAGUAACUGCGUGUCAUUACCGCGCGGUGAAUACGUCCCUGCUCCUUGCACACACCGCCCGU
rnacentral:rRNA from 1 species